rnacentral:rRNA from 1 species
CCUACGGGUGGCAGCAGUGAGGAAUAUUGGUCACUGGGCGCGAGCCUGAACCAGCCACGCAGCGUGAGGGAUGAAUGCCCUACGUGUUGUAAACUUCUUUUGUCAAGGAAUAAAGUGAGGCACGAGUGCCUUUUUGUAGGUACUUUAUGAAUAAGGAUCGGCUAACUCCGUGCCAGCAGCCGCGGUAAUACGGGGGAUCCGAGCGUUAUCCGGAUUUAUUGGGUUUAAAGGGUGCGUAGAUGGGUUGUUAAGGCAGUUGGGAAAGUUUGCGGCUCAACCGUCAAAUUGCAAUUGAUACUGGCAGGCUGGAGUACAGUUGAGGUAGGCGGAAUGCGCGGUGUAGCGGUGAAAUGCUUAGAUAUCACGAAGAACUCCGAUUGCGAAGGCAGCUUACUAAACUGACACUGACAUUGAUGCUCGAAAGUGUGGGUAUCAAACAGGAUUAGAUACCCGGGUAGUC